GGGGUGGGGCGGGGUGCAGGUGGAGACAGGUGACUCUUGAGCCAGUCUUUCUAGUUUCUACUGAACCUAUUGUUCCCUUUGGUCCCAAGGAGUCACAGAACGAUGUGGGUUCAUGGAGGCCAUGUGCUCCAUGAUGGCAGACUCAGGUCCCUGGGGCUUGCUCCUUGGGCCCAGCUGCCCGAGACUCCUGCUGAGGCGGUUGCAGGCAGGUUGUUCAAGCGGGCUCACGAGGUGCACUAAGAAAGUGUGUGAGCUGGUUUUCUGUUGCUGUGAAAAACUAUUGGGCAAAAGUAACUGAAGGGAGGGGGGAGGGAGGAAGGGCUGGGAAAUUGUGGCUCAUGUUUGAGGCUACAGUCUAUCACAGUAGGGGAUGCAUGGCGGCAGGAACAUGGGGUGGCUGGUCACACCGCAUCCUCAGCCAGGAAGCAGAGAGAGAUGACUGUUGUGCUUUAACCUCGUCCUCCUUUGGAUUCAGCACAAAAUCCCAGUCCAUGUGAUGAUGCCACCAACAUUUGCACGGGUAUCCCUCAGUUAAAUCUCGUUGGAAACACCCUUACAGACAUACUCAAGAGUUUUGCCUUCUAGGCAAUUCUGAGUCCAGUCAAGUUGAUAAUGAAGAUAAACUACCACAGGAGGAUACCUCAGAGACACACGUCUAUGAUAACAACCUGGCAUCAUAACUCCUGCUUGAGAGCCACAGAACUCGGCUAGCCACCCUGGGAGAGGGCCUGUGUGAUGGAGCCUGCCAACUUCCAUCCAGUCUCAAUAUCCCCAAGCCCGAUGGACUUUGCAUUUCUUCAUGCAAACCUGUUCUGACCCCAGUCUUGGGGUACAUGAUGCUGCACCCUCUGGGAUGACCCUAGUGCACCUGUCUGUAUCUUGAAAAUCAAGCCCAACAUUCUCAGCUGUUGAGCUUAGCAGAAUCUGAUGCGUCUGCCCAGGAAGGCCUCUCUCGGGUGCUCUGCUGGCCUUUGUGUGGACAGGGAUCGAGACACUCUUGCCCCGCUCUGGGCCUUUGGGUUCACAGCUUUUAACCCUUCCUAACCACUCUGCCAUUUCUGGAAGGCACCUGCCAAUUCUCCAAGCCUUCCAUGCUGAGGACCGCUUUGCUCUUAGUUGAAAAGAAGCCUGUUUGAAGACACAUUUUGCAUAUUUGAAUAAGAAAUAUGUUUCAUUUGUUCCCAGACUUGCUGUUUUGAUAAUGAACCACAUUUCUGAAUCAUUUAUAAUUGUGCCUCUGAAAGUCUGGUGGACCAGUCACAUGACUCCCAGGGCCCCCAAUCAUUGACUUAAUUCUAGUGAAGCAAAGCUUGAAGUCAGGACCACCUCCUGUUGCCAAGAACGUUCUUAACUUUGACACUUUAAAAAGCAGCUUUCCAGGCAUGAGGCGCCCGACAGUCACCACCGACCUGAGUGGUUUAUGUUAUUCUGACACCGCCAUAACAUUCUAUGAGGUCAUGGUGCAUUUGAAAGUUUAAGGAACUGAGAGAUCUCGAGUCCUGGGUACAGGGAAGGGACAGCUGAGACUCCUGGGCAAAAACUGGUAUCAGUGUCAGGGCAGGUGAGUGACAUUUCAAUCACGUGUUGUGCCACACCUCUAGUCGUCCUCUAGUCUUGGAGUACCAUCCGGGCUGGGCGUUGAAAGGCUGGUGUUUCCUGUGGCCACACCAUCUUCUCAUGACAACUUUUCUCUCAUUAGCCACUGGAGCCACAGGAGAUCCAGGACCUGGGUGUGGAUCCCCAAGCUAUAGGACAGGACAGGUUUUUAUGGGGCCACAUACAAAUGUCCCAGGGAGGUUGGGGCUUGAGUUUAGACUGUUAUGAGAUGACCAAGACCCCAGCAAAGGUCUGUGUUGAAAGCGACGGCCUCUCUUUUUUGUAACAAAUGACACAAUCUCAUUCUUCUUCAAGACAACAGCACAUACACAUAUAUCUUAUAAAUAUGCUGUAUUUCCUUAUCCAUUCAUCUGCUGAUGGACUGAUUUCAGAACCCAUCCACAGGUACUGUCUGAUUUCACUGUGAUGUUCCGCAAGGGAGGCAGUGGUACAUGGCCACCGCGCUGCAAAGCUGGACCUCAGAGAGCAGCCAGCUGGAGCAUCGUCAUUACCUCAUCAUUACCAGGUCUAGCUCUUGAAACUUCAUGGUAUUGAUCAUUCCCCGGAUCAGAUGCCAACAAAUCAGAAAAUCCUGUCCUAGACUUCUUGACUGAGCUGAAGAUAAAAGUGGCCUCAGCAUGUGGGGAACUAGACAAGAGUCCAGUACAUAGCAGGAGGAGAAUCGGACUGGUUCAGUUUCCCAUCCUCUGGAGAGGAGCAGGACAAAGUGGUUGGUCCUGUUCACCAAGCUCAGCUUCUGUGGGGAGCUAAAGGCCAGCUGCAUUCCCUGCAGUGGGGGUGUCAGCUCCUGCGGGACAAGUUCUGGGAUACCCACACAAUUGUGGGGAUAAGGGCAGAGGCCUGGUCCAGCUGUCCCCGAGGCUGUAGUAAAUAACACCCCAGACUCCCUCUUUCUCUGCCUUGAUAGAACAGUGGGUGCUGCCUGGAUCAACCCAGGCUCCUCAGGCACCUUUUCUAACCUGGAUGACUGACUUAUGCUUCAGACACCAGAAGCAGUGAGCGGUGCCAGGCCUUUGGAAUAUCCAGCCUGUGACGGGAUUUUACUCCAAGGCAAAGAAAAAUAGGAAAUACAGGGACGAAACAAUACACCCAGUGACAACCCCCUGAACUCAUGACAAAUGGUGUCUUGUCGACUCUUCUGGAUAAUCCUCACAGCCAUGACGUGUGGCACCUUCAGAAACCAAGACCUCGGAGAAAUCCUUCCUUUGCGCUGUUCCUCACAGGUGUUUAUUACAGCAAUGAAAAGCCUGAUACAUUUCCAGACAACCGACAUGGUUAUCAAUUGAGAAAAUCGCAACACCACCCCAUCUCCGAGAGGGUAAAGGAACAAGAAACACCAGCAUGGAGCAUGGAGGGUCGGGCCAUCACUUUUUAACACAUCUGCCUAAGCACACAGAGUAGCCUUCUUAUCAACCAGCAAUCCUGCGGUGGGUGAAUGCAUGACCGUGUGUCCAGAAAGCAGGUGCAGCUGUGUAUGUGUCUGCAUUAUUUUGAAUGGAUCAAAGCUGCAGGUGGGAUUGAGAAUACUGCUGCCUCCAUAGACGGCUUGACCUGUGUGCAUCGGGCUCUGGGUUCAAUCUCAAGUCCUAUGAAAAGUCAAAAACCAUCAAGAGUAGAGCAAAUGCCGUGCAGUUUAGGGAACUAGUCUCUAUUAUACACAGGAGUGUGGAGGAGUUUCACCAACGUAUCAUUUCACCGUGCCGAUACCAAGGUGAUUGAUGCUGCAAGACUCCCUAUCCACACCAAGCUUGGAAUUAGUCGGAUCCAGCAUGUCUGGUAGGAGCUGGAAAACAGAUCUCUUUUGUGCUCAGGAGGGAUUAAUGACUACACACUUAUGAUUCAUGCACCUUUCUAUAUGAACAUUAUACUUCAAUUAAAAUCUUAUUUAAAGCAAGCUUUUCCAUGGUGAAUACCGCCCCCCCCCUUGUUUUCAUCUCUGAAUUGAUGAGCAAUCAACACUAGGUCAUCAUCAUCAAACAAACCCAGAAUUCUCCAUCUGCCUCUUCUCCUGGGAGGUUUUCCCCCCCCUCAAUUGCUUCUAUGCAUGAAUGAUAAUGUUAAGUAUUUCAUUUACAUUUGAUAGCAUGGUCCUCACUUUUGAAUAUUUACAUCCAAACUUCUGCUAGUGUGUGGUAUGGAAAGAAUGUUAACUGAAUUUGUUCCCCCCCACCCCCUCGACUAACUUGUUAAUGUCCUACCCAUAAAGAUUCAGCACACAGGGCUAGCACUGCCUGGGAUCUGUGUGGUCCCGACCUCUAAACUUCUGUUAUGAUUACACUCAGUGUGUUCACUGCUGAGUGACUUCUGCAACUGAAGAGUCUUCUCCCACUAUUGUCUUAAUAUUCUUUCCUAUUGAUUAUUCUGAUAACGUUCAAUGAUACUUGAACUCUGUCAAUCUAAAAGAAUUGUGUCAAUAGCCAUUCCACCGUUUGUAACGUAUUAGUAUCAUUAUAGCCUUGAGUCUUUGAGUGUCUGGAAUAGUUUCCAUGUUUGCUAACUUUAAUUGCUGUUCUCAUGAUACUGUUGCACUGGUCUGUGAGCCUGACCACCAGGCUGUUCUGUUUCUGCAGUCUGGCUCCUGUGUGAUGAUCACAAGCAUCCUGUAAACACUGCACUGUUGGGGGCUUACAGGUGAUUUUCCAAUAAACUUUCUAGUAUACUA